AAGCCGGCCCCCCCACCUGAAAAAGAAAAGCGUUAUCCGGAAUCAUUGGGUUUAUUCCCUGACAAAAAGCGGGAUAAUAAGUCAGUGGUGAAAGUCUGCAGCUUAACUGUAGAAUUGCCAUUGAUAUUGCUGUUCUUGAAUUAUUAUGAAGUGGUUGGAAUGAGUAGUGUAGCGGUGAAAUGCAUAGAUAUUACUCAGAACACCUAUUGCGAAGGCAGAUCACUAAUAAUAUAUUGACGCUGAUGGACGAAAGCGUAGGUAGCGAACAGGAUUAGAUACCCUGGUAGUCCACGCCGUAAACGAUGGAUACUAGCUGUUUGGAUUUCGGUCUGAGCGGCUAAGCGAAAGUGAUAUUUUAUCUUAUCUGGGGAGUACGUUCGCAAGAAUGAAACUCAAAGGAAUUGACGGGGGCCUGCACUUUCGGUGGAGUU
rnacentral:rRNA from 1 species